AUGGGGUGCGCGCGGACGGUGAAGGCCGGGGCUGCGGCCGCGGCGGCCGUGCUGGUGGCGGCCGGGGUGAGGAUGGUGGGGCCGGCGGCGGCGGGGUUCGUGGCGGAGGAGAUCCCGCGCGCGCAGGCGGUGGCGGCCACCUGGCUCACGCCGCCCUACCUGUACCUCGUCAUCAACGCCAUCAUCAUCUCCAUCGCCGCGUCCUCCAAGUUCCAGACCAGCCGCGCGUCGGGCUCCCACGCCGCUGUGGGGACGGAGCCGGUUCCAGUGCCUUCGCCGGCUCUGGCGAUGCCGAUGGAGUUGCCUGUACCCGCAGUGGCUAUGGCGAUGGCGGUGCCCGUUCCGGUGGCGCGUGUUCCUGAGGACGUGCCGGUCGUCAAGACGCCCCCUGCGCCGGUGCCGGCGCCGGAGAUGGAGGAGGAGGAGGACUUCCUGAUUUCAAGAUCUGCAUGGACGCCGCAGCGAAGGGUCACGGAGACGGAUGUUGAGGUGGCGCCGUUCGCGGACCUGACGAACAAGAGGGAGAAGCCGCUGUCGUCUGCGCGGUUCGGCCGGAAGGCGGCCAAACCCAGCCCAGAAGGCAGCAGGGCGCUGCGGGUGUCGCGGCCGCGGAGGGAGGACACCCUGGAGAGCACGUGGAAGGCCAUCACGGAGGGGCGGGCGCCGCCGCUGGCGCGACACCUCAAGAAGUCGGACACCUUCGACACCCGCCCGGGCCGUCGUCCGUCCGGCGGCGGCGAGGAGGUGGCGCCCCCCGCGGCGACGAUGCGCAAGGCCGAGACGUUCAACGACCCCGCCGCGGCCGUGGGCGGCGCGGGCGAGAGGAAGGUGCGGCGCGAGCCGUCGCUGGGGCAGGACGAGCUGAACCGGCGCGUGGAGGCCUUCAUCAACAAGUUCAACAUGGAGAUGCGGCUGCAGCGGCAGGAGUCGCUGAAGCACUACAGCGAGAUGGUCGGCAGCGGCGGCGGCCGUUACUGA
rnacentral:rRNA from 1 species